rnacentral:rRNA from 1 species
GUGCCAGCAGCCGCGGUAAUACGUAGGUGGCAAGCGUUGUCCGGAAUUAUUGGGCGUAAAGCGCGCGCAGGCGGUCUUUUAAGUCUGAUGUGAAAGCCCACGGCUUAACCGUGGAGGGUCAUUGGAAACUGGAGGACUUGAGUACAGAAGAGGAGAGUGGAAUUCCACGUGUAGCGGUGAAAUGCGUAGAGAUGUGGAGGAACACCAGUGGCGAAGGCGACUCUCUGGUCUGUAACUGACGCUGAGGCGCGAAAGCGUGGGUAGCGAACAGGAUUAGAUACCCUGGUAGUCC